GUGAUCGGCCAGAUCAAUCUCUUCAACGUGAGAGUUUGAUCCUGGCUCAGAGCGAACGCUGGCGGCAGGCUUAACACAUGCAAGUCGAGCGGGCCUUUCGGGGUCAGCGGCGGACGGGUGAGUAACGCGUGGGAACGUGCCCUCUGGUUCGGAAUAACUCAGGGAAACUUGAGCUAAUACCGGAUACGCCCUUUUGGGGAAAGGCUUGCUGCCGGAGGAUCGGCCCGCGUCUGAUUAGCUAGUUGGUGAGGUAACGGCUCACCAAGGCGACGAUCAGUAGCUGGUCUGAGAGGAUGAUCAGCCACACUGGGACUGAGACACGGCCCAGACUCCUACGGGAGGCAGCAGUGGGGAAUAUUGGACAAUGGGCGCAAGCCUGAUCCAGCCAUGCCGCGUGAGUGAUGAAGGCCUUAGGG
rnacentral:rRNA from 1 species